AACUCAAAGGAAUUGACGGGGGCCCGCACAAGCGGCGGAGCAUGCGGAUUAAUUCGAUGCAACGCGAAGAACCUUACCAAGGCUUGACAUGAACCGGUAAUACCUGGAAACAGGUGCCCCGCUUGCGGUCGGUUUACAGGUGGUGCAUGGUUGUCGUCAGCUCGUGUCGUGAGAUGUUGGGUUAAGUCCCGCAACGAGCGCAACCCUCGUUCUAUGUUGCCAGCGCGUUAUGGCGGGGACUCAUAGGAGACUGCCGGGGUCAACUCGGAGGAAGGUGGGGACGACGUCAAAUCAUCAUGCCCCUUAUGUCUUGGGCUUCACGCAUGCUACAAUGGCCGGUACAAAGGGUUGCGAUACUGUGAGGUGGAGCUAAUCCCAAAAAGCCGGUCUCAGUUCGGAUUGGGGUCUGCAACUCGACCCCAUGAAGUCGGAGUCGCUAGUAAUCGCAGAUCAGCAACGCUGCGGUGAAUACGUUCCCGGGCCUUGUACACACCGCCCGUCAAGUCACGAAAGUUGGUAACACCCGAAGCCGGUGGCCUAACCCUUGUGGGGGGAGCCGUCGAAGGUGGGACCGGCGAUUGGGACUAAGUCGUAACAAGGCAGCCGUACCGGAAGGUGCGGCUGGAUCACCUCCU
rnacentral:rRNA from 1 species